UCCAGUGACACAGAACAUCACAGUCAACACUGAGAAGAAGACGUCUCGGCUUCUUCGACCGAUCGACCGUACUGGUCACGGUCGAGGAAGACCCGAAGAGGAGGCUAGAGGACGAAGCCGAAGAGGAAGUGAGCCGCAGUUAUCUAAUCAGCGAUCGUCAUUAUUUUCUGUCGCAGAUCCGGUCGGAGCGCACGUCAACAGUCACGAUGGUCUCACUACUUGGACGACCCAGGGCAACGAGGCAGCAGCAAUCCAAGAACAAUGGAGGCAUCAAUCAGUCGAUGGGAUGGCACAGGAGGUUGAAAAUCAACGGGUGCAGCCGGAGUCCACCGUCAAGCGGAAGCCAAACUAUCCUACCUGAGGAAUCGAAACAAGGACUGAGAAACGGAUCGAAGAACGACAAAAGAAGUAUCUUCACGGCGAUCUCGUUCCUGGAUGAUCGUGAUGGAUCAUCGGCGACCAGGAGCGAUGAUCGCACGACCCUUCUACUUCAUUCUACACUCAAUUUAUCGAGUUACUUGUAGAAUUUCGCAUCUGUCAUGUUUUAUCGCACUUAUGAGAUUCGUUGAAUUUAUGGCAAUUAUCAUUGCGACAUUUGUUGGAUUUAUCAAAGUUAUCGCGUUCGUGUUUUACACAAGAAGAGAAAACAGGCUUUUAAAUGUUUACCAGACAAACUGAGAUCGUAGCGAUGAUUUUUAUUCUGUACAUUGGCGAGAGCAUUUUCGAGGCAUUAUCGAGGCACUUCUGGAGCAUAUAAGGCUGCGAGCUUCAACUACUUUUUGAGAAUCUUUCUGACCUCGACUUCAAGAUCGAAGCAGUACCAUUCUGACGGAACGAAUUAUUUCCUGUCUUCUGAGAAUUCAUUCGACGCUUCACGGACAGACGUCGAAUAUCAAUUAUCGAUCGCUGGAUUUUCUGUAACGUGAUAUUCACAGCAUUUGAAAAAAAAACAAGAAAUUUCAUGGCGGGUGAGAGCUGCAUCCGUUAUACUUACCAGACCGAAACAAACGAGAUUUCGCAGCAUCGAAACCGAACAUUCUCAACGCAACGUCGAAAUCGUCAAGAGCGGUAACUCCUGGAACACACUCCUGAAAUAACUCUGGAAACGCUACUUCUUUACCACGUUACUCUAAUAAUUGACCAAAGACUUCUAUACAAUAACGCUAUAGGAAAACAGGAAUUUCUCGAGUUUGUUGAAGAAGAUCAUCGGAAUACCACGAAAUCAUCAUCGUAAUACCACGUAACGCGUGUAUGACGCGACCUCCCUCAAGAUUACGCAGUCAUUUCGCAGAGAGAAAGAAAGAGAGAGAGAAAAUCAUUAGCACGUGAAUUAUAGCAUUGGCACAUAUUUCGUACACGUUCCGCAGUGCGAACAAUUAGAGUCUGAAUCCUACCUCGCUCGAAAUUGGAUCGAAAAGGACGAAACGUCUCCCCUCGGAAAGAUCACGGCAAGGGAUUGAAACGGGUCCUCUGAUCUCUUGAGCUCGAUCACUCCCUCUCCUCCCUCUCCUUUUGAGUCUGUACCGUCACAAAUGCAACUGCCUUCGCAGAUGGAAUAAUUUUGCAAGAUACUCUCGAACGACCGCGAAAGCACGCGGUUUUCAGCACUUUAUUACUGAUUUACAGAAAGCUCUAUCAUCGUUUCCCGAGAGGAAUCAUCUUUCGUUAUACUUCCCGGUCACAUUUGAUGCGCUGCGAUGUCACAACGACCAAAGAAGCAUACACGGCUCCAAAUCUGUUUACGAGGACUCCCUCGUAAUGACUUGACGAAAGCACGGUAAUUUCACGUUGAAACAGCAUUUCCUCUGGAGCAUCCUGAUUAUUUUGCGAUCCAAACACGACGAUUGUUCGACACGCUCGUCAACGGCAUCAAGUAAGGCAUACAAUUAUGGCAUCAGAGCUAUUAAAAACGCAAAGACGAAAAGCACAAACAGUAUUAUGCAGGCAAAACAGUUCCGCACGAACUUGAACUGCAGCAAAAGCAAGAAAAAAAAAGAACGGAUCUAAUUUGACUGGAAAUUCAACCUGGCGAGACACAAUUGAAGGCUCUCGAUCGGAAUUUGUUAGUUAUACUUCGGAUCGACGAGUUAGCACACCGUCAACUCUUGUGGUAAUAAUUAUAAACAAAUAAUAAUUUCGCGUUGAUUAUUAGAUGAUUAAAAGAGAGCAGUAGAAACGUUUGAACGCACCGCAGAAGUAAUUCAUACGAAUUCACGAAUCGACAGAAAUUUAAACACACACAAAGAUCGAUACUCAAAACGGACGUCGUGCCGACAUCAUUAUGCUCGAUUCUAAUUCGUGAUGCUCGUUAUUACACUUUACAUUGAGCAAAACAGUACACGCGGAGUCCUUUUUGGUCCAAUGCAAGUUCGAAAUUAACGACUGAACAUCAAAUUUAAGAAAUAAACUUUCGCCAGAUCGAAAGCACAUAACGAUAAUUCUCUUCAAGCACAUGCGGCUCUGCAGCGGCAUAAACAAGCUUCUCGAUACGAAAUCACGAUCCACGAGCAAAACACCGCUGCAUGAACACAAAAAGACAUUAGAGACAAAACGCCGGGAGGCAAAAAUAACUCAAGUGAAACGAAAAUCUCUUAUUACUUACUUACUCGAGACAAACUUUCUCGAAUACGAUUUUAUGCUAAACUGUUCAAGGCUACAAAUUAGACGUCAAUCGUACGAAGAUUCUAAAUCCAUACGAAGAACAGAAAUUAUCAAAAGUAUCAUGCUGGAUGACUCGGAUUAUGAAUCUCAGGACAAAAAUCACUAUUGCGGAUUUAUCCGACUGUGCAAGAAUCCUCAACGAGCUGAAACAGAAAAGCUUCAUCUAACCGACAGUAAACAAUGUAAUUGUUAUUAUUGAUUUUUUCCUUAUUUAGCAAAAGAAGAACUCUACGACGAAAUGAAGAAUUAAGAACGGCGAGUGACAGGUCUUUUCCCUCAAAUCUGUCGAAAACACAUUAUCUUCCGAAGAUAUCACGGACCAGACACGUGGAGAUAAAGCACCAAAUCAUCGCGAAACAACGCUUAGCUGAGUCGCCGAAUCACGGACAACGGACGUCGUGGGACUAUUAUCAAAAAGUAAUAUAUUUUCUUCUAAUUAUUUUUCUAGAUUUUUAAGUUUUUAGAAAAAUCGAUCGACUUUAUCGAUAGUAUUAACUAAAAAAGAAAAAAAAUAAAAAAAGACGUGAGUGAUUUAUAACAUUAUUGAGGAGAUAAAGUUGAUUAUUGCGAUUAUCUCAUUUUUGGCACUUAACAUACGACCGUUAUUAAACUAAACGUAGUCAAGAUAUUUGAUACGAAUCUUAUAUUGUAUUGUAGAUUUAAUUUUCUUAUUAUUUAUUUUACUCAUUUUCUUUUUUCGUUAGUUUUAUUUCUUUUCGGUUUUAUUUUAUUGGUCUGCGUGAGAUUAUCGUCAAUAUUAAGAUGUGAAGUGGUUUGUUUGCGUAUACGCUCUAAACCAUAUACAUGUGAAUCAUAUCCGCAUUUAUAUUUUUAUCGCAUUAUUAUUAUGACUACAAUGUUUAAACAUCUUGAAAUUCUGUCAUUUUUAUAAUUAGAAAAUAUUUCCGGCAGAAAACAUCGUACUUUAUAAAACACAUAAUAUAGUAUUAGUAGUUAUCAAUAUCUGUUUGACAGUUAUCAAUAUUUGUUUACAGAUUAUUGACUAUUAAUCAUGUGAUUUUAUAUUAUAGAGAGAAUCUUCUCAAUUUUAUGUUCAGUAAUUAUAAAAUUCUGGAAUGUUUUUAAGUGUAGAUUUUUGUUCGUCUGCGCUUUAUAAUUAUUAUUACGUCACUUACAUUACGUCACUAUAUGUAUACUAUAUUUUAUUCAAAUACUAUAUUUUGUUAAAGGAUUAUCAUUUGCAUAUCAAUAAUUUCAUGACCGACCAAGUAUUAAUUUUGAUUUUAAUUUUGUUUUUUAUUUUUUUAUAUUUGUUUAAACUUUUUAGUUCCUUUUUUACCAAAUAAAAAGAAUAGAAUGUGAAAAUAAAAAAAAAAAGAAAAAAGAAAACAUGUUGAUAUAAAGUAUGAUACGUUCUACAAAACAAGUAAUAUGCAUCUAAAAUAAUCCCAUAUAAUCUGUCAAACUGAUAACGUAAUAUUUGAGACAUAUCAGUGAUACGAUGCAACUUUCUGUUCGAUUGUUCCCAACUGUGCGGAGAUGCUGGGAGGAUUACAAGGAGUUUGUCUCACAAAAUUGUGUUUGAUUAAAAAUUAAUAUAUAUAUUGAAAAAUAUAAUCACAUCAUUUUUGCGAGACCAACCAUUCCUCUCGGGAUCUGCGUAUUUCAUUUUAUCGAAUUAUCACUAAAAUUAUCUCGUUUUUGGUUACAUAGCAUUAAUAUAAUUACAUAGAAAUAUAUUCUGUGUAUGAAUUGAACACAAACUCGUCUGAGAAAUUUGUUUAUUUGCUAAUUGAGUUUUUACUGCAUUAUAGAUGUCUAUCGUAGAACGUGGAUUGUAUGAUGUGUAUACGUGACAUCAUAAAUGCCUUCACUGUGAGACUUAAGUAACAUAUUUGUUAGAAAUAUUGAAGAUAAUCCACUUAGCUGAGAAAUUGUUCUGCUUGUUAGUAAGUAAUAUUUAUACGAAACCAUAAAAACGAUACUUGGCUUGAUAAGAUAUUUAUUAAUAUUUUAAUAUAUUAAGAGAGAUAUGAAACAUAUUUUUAAAAAAUACACAACAGUAUAUCAAAAAUUGCAACAAUAUGUAAUCUUCCUGUUAUUACUUUGUUUACUUUGUUUUCUUAUUUCCAACAAGAAAAGAAGACUCUCAAUUUAUAGACUUUAGUGCAAAUCGAUUCUUUUUUUGAUGACAAUACCGUGUGAUACAGUUUAAAUAGUUUAAAGAAGGACAUUUCGACUUGAACAAUACUCCAGUAUCUCUUACAAGUGUGAAACUGAUGAAUUUGUAAAGUCACUCGACGAUAAUCAAACGCAAAUACAAAAACAAGUAGCACAAUUCAGAAUUUGCAGUAAAUCGUCUCCAAGCGAUUGCACGAGACGACAACAAGGAUAAAAGAAGCCAUUUUCUGGAAAAUCCUAAGAAAUUAUGAGAAAUAGAUCUAUUACGAUAAUCUUAAGAGUAAGCAGUGGAUUAUCUUUAACUAUUCAUGACUAUAUGUCAUACUUGUGUCAAAUAAACGAACUUGUGCUGGCGUUUAUGAUGUCGUAUGUGAGUAGCAGUUAAUGUUACAACUAUAUUAUAGACAUUUUGCACUUAGUAUUUUAAAAAUUUUUAUGUUGAUAUAUUCGACAAGAUACAUUUGGCAAAGAAGAGAAUAUUUCAGUGAAUGAAUACGUACAACUAAUAAGAAUGAGUGACGAACUUUAUAAGAUUUAUCACGAAAUUGAUAUCAAUUGUAAAUUUUGGCUUUCCCAAUUUAUAGAGAGAUUGUGCUGUUUUUAUUUUUUACAUAAAAUGUUACAAUUAUUAUUCGUACGUGCUCUUUGUUUUUUUCGUACAUGGCAGAUUAUCUGUUAAUAUAUCCAUUGUCAAACUUUACAUUGCUGUAUAAAAUUUAUCAAGUUAACCGAUUAUUAUUAAUUUAUAGCUUAUAUCUUUAUUCUAUAAGAGAGAACAUAUAUUAUGGAAACAUUAGAGGAACAGGUAAUAAUAUGCAGGAAAUAAUUAAUUAGUAUAAGUAAAAUUAUAUAUAUAUAUAUAUAUAUAUAUAUAUAUAUAUAUAUAUAUACUGAUUCGUAAGCACUUACUUUUAUCCUCAAGCAUAGUAAGCGAAACAAUGUAUACGACGUACGACAUAAGCAACAUGAAUUAUUUAUUUCGCAAAAUUAUCCACUUUUAAGUAUCAUGAUUAAAAAUAUCUAGGGUAGACAAAUAUAUAACUUCGUAGUAAGAAAAUCAUUUAUAUAUUAAUUAUCUAAAUGUCUAACUUUUAUUAUUCAAUUGUGUGAGAAUUCGAUAUCGAUAUUUCUCUUCGGUACCACGUAAUAUAGAUGAUUUGUACUUUGCCCGUUAUAACGAUAAUAUUAAGCUGUCUAAAAUACAAUACAAUUCGAACGGAAGUGUUUUAGAUACAUCUCGAAAAAAGAGGCACCUUACGCGUAAAGUAUCCCGCAAAUACUUUAAUUCAGAAAUAAUAUAAACGUAUUAUGCUGCUUUUGAAUGCUUCUCAAAUGUUGCUUAUCUGCUCGGAAUGUUACUGUUUUUGUUGUUCAUGUUUGUGUCGAAUUUUAAGCUCCUGAUCAUUCACUUGGAUGGACGCGUCGCUAGAUUAUUCCGUUAUUCACGUUAAAUUUCUGUUUGGCAUGUUAUCGAUCUGGAUUUCCGUUGCUGUUACGCUAUCGAACGUUAUGUAGAAGUGAUUGUUACAUUUCGUUUCCUUUAACACCUGUUUGAACCUGUUUGAACCUGUUACGUUAUCUUAUCGCAUGUUCCCUGUUGCCGAAACUUUGGAUGUUCCAGUUGGACUGAAAGUUAUGUUUAAAGCUGUUAAAUCCUUGUUGAUUGUACUGUUAAUACUUUGUUUAUGUUAUAGAUCAUCAUCAAUCACCUACAAAACUGUUGUCAAACAUCCUGUAUUCGACAGUCCAUCCCACUCGAAUCCACAAAAGCAUCCAAUGUUUAUUCCAUUUGCUAUAAUGAAUUUUAAACAAUUGCUCCUCUCUCUCUCACUCAUUCUAUCUUUCACACUAUCUUUCUUUGAUCUUGUAUGUAAAUUCUAUUAUGACUUACUCUACGUUACAUUCGUUGAAUUUAAGCACCUUUAAUUUCUUAAACUCACUGCACGAAAAUAUCUCAUGUUGGAAGUUAUUGAGGAAAUUCAAGAUUCUUAUCAGAGAAAAUAGUAAGAAAAUUGAUUUAUUUCCAUAUAUUAUAUGAAUGUAAUAUUUCAACAGAAAAUUACCUCUUGUGUUGUAUCAUGUACGUUAUUUAAAUUUUGAGCUUCUCUCUGAAAAGCGUAAAUAUUAUCUAAAUGUGAAUUAAAAUUUGCACAUUAUUUUUUUAAUUUAUGUACUUUGCACAUAUUCUGAUUAUAAAAUAUGUGUGCGAUUUUAAUGUAUAAAUUUCUCAUUUGAGAAAAAGAGCUUUAAAUAAAAGUUAUUUAGUUCCAAUGAACUUCUAAUCUGGAGUCGUUCAAGAUUUAAUGUCAGAACAAGGUCAUAAUUCCAUACCCUCUUGAAACUAAAUAACUUAUCUGAAACUUUUUUUCUAAAAUGAGAAAGUGACUGAAAUAGUUGAGGUAAUACAUUGAAAUGGUCCAUCUCUAUAUAUCUUACAGCUAUAGUUAUUGUUUUAAAAAAAUCAUGAAGUUGAAAUGUGUCCUGUAUUUUACGUUAAAUUCUUUCGGCAGUUGAAGUUACUAGUUUGUCUGCCUUAGACAUAUUAUAAUCGUUACUUACACGUUAUUAAUAUCACUUUUGUUUACCCCCAACCUUAUUUGUUCGCUCCUUAUUAUUAUUGCUAUUAUUAUUUCCUCUAUUGCUAUUUACUAUUAUAUUUUAUUACUACGUAUUGCAUUUUCAGAUUGUUUUAUCAUUGUUGACAAUGUGACGGCAGAGCGGUUAAUCAAAUCAAUUCCAAUUGGGCAAUUAAUAAUGUUUACGCUUAUUUCAUUUCUGGCAGAUGAAAUUUAUUUGUGUGACUUAUAUAUUUGAUAUAUAUUGUAAAUACAGUUCCUUUAGGCACGGUAGAAAAUACGUUCCAAAAAUAGCUGUAUGCUUGAAUUCCGAGUGAAAGUGUCUUGUAAAAAUAUCAAACUUAUCUCUCUGCGAAUGAGAUAUGUGUGCAUGUGUGUACGUGUGUGCGCGCGUAACUUGUGACAGAAAAUAAAAUUAAUGAUUAUAUAUCUGAACACACAGAGAUAUUAAAGGAGCUAAAAGCUUAGAUAUUUAAAUCACAUUCAAGAAUUCUAUAUUUGGAUGGUUAACAAGUCUUCUUAUUGUAAAUUAAAUAAUAAAAUUAUUAAAUUAAUUAAACGCAAAAACAUAUUACUAGUAAUAGUUUGUUAUUAUCUGUUUGCAAUAUUUUUCAAAAAAAAAAUUAGUUCCAGAGAAAAUUCAAGUAUAUCACUUAAAAUAAAUUAUUCUUUUUGCAUAAAAGUUUAUAACAUACAUUUUAUUGUCAGAAAUACUUGGCCAGCCAAAUUACUACGAUGCUUGUAUAAUUGUUAUUGUUAUUUGAUUUUGUUACAUCCUUGGUUGCUGUUAUGCAAAAUUAUGUUAUUGUUAUGUUACCGUUGUUACAUACCUCCUGAAAAUCCGUAUGGAAGAGUUGCCUGUUACCAAUGCCCGUGUUUCUGGUUCUUGUUCUUCAAGAAACUUUGUCGGAACUGUUUUUUUGUUAUUGUUUAAUUGGCACCAAAAGCAAGCAUAUAUACAUUCGCCCUUUAUCACCGAGUUAAAGAUUUUUACUGGCGAAAUACAAAUCGAUCGAUAGUCUAUAGAGGACGGUAAAGACUUAACAUGAUUUACGCUAGACAAAUAUAUAAUGCAUUUAUUGAACUUUGUUUUCAUUCCGGCAGAUUAUUUAAUAUAGAUUAUUUAUUUCAUUUUAAUUAAUAGCGUUAAAAUUACAAUUAAUUACAAUUACAACGUAAUUAAAGCUAUGUAAUUAUUAUUAGUUAAUUUGCGAAAUUUAUCGCAUUUUGGUUUCACCGCAGUGCCUUACCUGAUAGAUCUUAAUGUACGUAUAUGUUAAUAUACAUUAGAAUAUUAUUACUACUGCCAUAAAAUAAUAUGUUAAAAAUAAUCUAACAGUUAAGAAUAUGUAUUUUUUCGCAUGUGAGGAGUACACUAACGUGUGUUGUGCUAUCAUAACAUAUGUGUAAAAGAACAGACAGGGAAUAUGUAUAAGCAUUUUUAAUGAAUAAAUUCUGUUUAUAAUAUA